GGCCCAGUAGAUCAGUUGGUUAGAUCGUCGUGCUGAUAACGCGAAGGCCAUGGGUUCGAGCUCCACCCGGGCCA
rnacentral:tRNA from 1 species